rnacentral:rRNA from 1 species
UACGUAGGGUGCGAGCGUUAAUCGGAAUUACUGGGCGUAAAGCGUGCGCAGGCGGUUCGUUGUGUCGGUGGUGAAAGCCCCGGGCUUAACCCAGGAACUGCGUCCGAUACUGGAAGGCUUGAAUCCGGGAGAGGGAUGCGGAAUUCCAGGUGUAGCGGUGAAAUGCGUAGAUAUCUGGAGGAACACCGGUGGCGAAGGCGGCAUCCUGGACCGGCAUUGACGCUGAGGCGCGAAAGCCAGGGGAGCAAACGGG